UACGGAGGGGGCAAGCGUUGUUCGGAAUUACUGGGCGUAAAGCGCACGUAGGCGGUUUUGUAAGUCUGGGGUCAAAGGCGACAGCUCAACUGUCGUAAGGCCUUAGAUACUAUAGAACUGGAGUGCCAGAGAGGAUGGCGGAAUUCCCGGUGUAGCAGUGAAAUGCGUAGAGAUCAGGAGGAACACCGAUGGCGAAGGCAGCCCCCUGGGCCUGUACUGACGCUCAUGCACGAAAGCGUGGGGAGCAAACAGG
rnacentral:rRNA from 1 species